GGUGUGAUUUGGGAGUGUGAGCCCAUGUUGCCAUGGCCAAGAGGCACAUGCAGGACACAGCUCUCCCUCACUUGUCAUUUAGCCACCAUGCUCCUUCCUGCACCAAAUGUACUGAUAAUGAGAGCAUGAAGUGAGGACACCCAUUUAACUGGACAGAUGCAGUUUGGAGAGUAGCAGGGCUGGGUCUGCAAAGGAGGGUCUCUCACUGAAUCUAAAGCCUGUUGAUUUGAGCAGACUGGCUGACUAGGAAGCUCCCAGGAUCUGUGUGUCUAUACCUUUCAAUGCUGGGACUAUAGAUGUUUGGUAUGUCCAGUUUUUUCAAGGAUGUUGGAAAUUUGAACUCAGGUCCUCAUGUUUGUACAGCAAACACUUACUUUACCAAGCCAUCUUCCCAGACUCCAGGGCUCCAUUUAAGUAAAAAGUCUGAAUGGUGCUAAUGGCUAUAGGCUCUGGGAGAUUCACUGCGUGGUAGGAAGCUGCUCUUCAUGGAGAGAAAGGCUGUGAAACAAGAUGCGGGCUCUUUGAUCUUGGUUCUCACAGAGGCUCCCUUGGCCCUUCUGUCCCCUAUGGGGAAUGGGUAGAUACAGUGUUGCUUCAAUGCAAUUGGCAGAAGAGGAUCUGCCUGGCUGUUUCUGGAAACUAGCACUUACUUCUUUAAAGGGUCCACGAGACUAUCUGAACUCACAAGGGAGAGCCAAAGUGCUGGAGGUACCCACAGAAUUCUGGGAAGUGUUACAUGUCAUACCAAGAGAGCACGAACAUUCACUAGUAGCACACUCAAGGAUUCCCAGCACCCUGGGCAUGGCUGAAUGGCUGUAGAAAGACGUGCUAGGGAUUCCUUCAAGUCCUGUUGGUACUCAGCUGUGGAGACUGCUGUGGUCCUUCCUUCUCAAGACCUGGUGUUCGGAGGAACAAGAUUUGAAUAACAGAGGGCUUCUCAGCUACAGACCUUGGAUGGCUGUGUUCCCAGAUGUGACCUUUUCAAGUGAAUUUAGAGCUGUGAACCCAGGAUCAAGAUAAGGAGUCUACGAGUGAAGCCAGGAUCAAGACAAGGAGUCUACAAGUGAUAAACUCUGAAUCCAGGAUCCAGGGUAGUACCCACUGGGGCCUAAGGUGCUGGGUGGACCUGGUUAUGAGCACAGCUUCACCAUACCCCAUUUGGAAGCAGGCUUUAUCCUAGCUGAAAGGAUGUCACAAUGAAUGUUAAUGCCACACCAUUUAUUAGAAAAGCAGGGACACUAUAACUACGUGUCUUCCUUCUAAAUACCCCUGUCUUGAUGAAAGUCUACUUAUUUAGAUUUGACAUUCUUGAAAUAAGCAAUAAAGUGAGGUUUGCCUUCUCACUCUUAAAUCUUGCAAUUGACUUCAGUUCCUACACAAUUAAAUUCCACAGAAACUAGCAAUUCUAAAAUGCUUAGCUGUUUUAGACUGGAUGAGAAACCAGGUGUUUUAGAAGUCCAUAAAUAUGUAUAAUAUAUAUUAUUGUAUGAACUUAUUAUAUGUGUAUAAUAUAUAAUAUGUGUUAUAUAUAGUUUACAUAUUAUAUAUACAUAUAUAAUAUAUAGUAUACACACAUAUAUAUGUUUUCUAUAGAGGAAAGAUGGAUCCCUUUCUAUUCCAUGUCUGUUGUGCAUAUUUUUUUCAGGCUUCAUAGACACAAAACAUCAGUAUGUGUGUGCAUGUAUGCAUAUGUCUAUGUGUUUCUCUGUGCAUAUGUAUGGGUAUAUACCAAGCUUAGAUAUACAUGUAUUUUGGUGUAUGCUUACAUGAAUAUUGUAUAUUGUGUAUAGUGUAUGACCACAUGUAUGUAGUGUGUACUCUGUAUGCAUAUAAGCAUGCAUGUAGAAUGUAUGCAUGUGUGUACUGUGAGACAAGGAAGGUUCUAUAAAAAGUUUCUCCACUACAUAACCCAUCUAUGCUACAAUUUACUGUCUAUUUUACUGAACACAUGCAUGAGGUUGGUCAAAGCUGGUGAGUUCCAUCUUUAUCUGAAUGAAGUUUUAAUUUUUUUUCCUUUUAAAAUUGAAAACCAUGUUUUUAUUCCAAAAGACUGGGUAGGGUGGUAUUUUAAAAAUAAUUCUAGUCACUUAAAUUUAAGGCCCUGGAAAAAAAAAGAGUUCCAUCUCUGGUCCAAAUCUACUCUCUGGCCCAGAGCCCAAAGCAUUUUCAUUAGCUGGAGAAUGGAGACGGUUUCACUCACUUUAAGCCUUACUGCUCGGUAGUGUUUGUUCAGAGACAAGCUAACAAGUGUCACUGGCCGUGUUGCCCUUAAUAAUAUGUCUCCUUCCUUUGAAUGAGCUAUUUCAGUUGCAUUAUUGCCAUUUAAAGGUGGCCUUGUGCUUGCACUCACGUUUCCAGGGACUGCAGAAGGCGUGUUGGAUCUCUCCUACACGGCUUUGCCUCUUCCACUAGCAAGUUUCCAGAGGAACAGCCCCAAUUGUUUUUUGAAGGCAUUCAUGGGGGGAAAAGCCAUACAGUGCAGGUGCUCUGACCCCCACACUUUGUUUUUGCUUCUACUCAUGGCAAUCUUGCCCAACUAUGCUAAGAUUUCCUCAGGUUUUAAAAUUAAUUCAUAAAAAUCCUAUUCAAGGCUUUUCAAUAAGCAAUGUUGACAUGUAAGUAAGAAAUAUUCAAGCCUUUUCAAUAAGCAAUGUUGACACGUAAGAAAGAAAGACAGAUCACCCAGUCAGGAGAAUUGGAGGGAGAUUUGACCAGGUGUGCAGCUGAGAAACCCAGUAGCCAGUAAGUGCUUGCAGUCAGACCACAGCACCAUGGCCAGUGACUGCUGCCACUGGCACCAAGGUGGCAACUAAACAGUGUAACAGCAAUUGUAAGCAACUAUACAGUGUAACAACAGUUAUAUGCAACUAUACAAUGUAACAACAGUUGUAAGUCGCAGGUGGAAACAUUACACUCUGCCGGGGUGAGCUGGCUCAGAGUUCAGUGUAGACAUUGUUUAAAGCAGAAGAUGUUGUAUGUGGGGUGUGUGUGUGUUAUGUGUGGUGUGGUAUGUGUGGUGGUGGUGGUGUGUGUGUGUGUCUGUGGUAUGUGUAGUGUGUGGUGUGUGUGUGUGGUAUGUGUGGUGUGUGGUGUGGUGUGGUGUGUGUGUGUGUGGUAAGUGUGGUGUGGUAUGUGUGUGUGUGCACGUGCGUGUGUGUGCGCUCAUGUGGUAAGUGUGAUGUGGUAUGUGUGGUGGUGGUGGUGGUGGUGGUGUGUGUGUGUGUGUUUACAGAGGCCAAACAAGAGCAUUGGAUCCCUUGGAUCUGGAGUGACAGGCAGUUGUGAGCUACUGGUCAGAAGUGUGGGAACUGAACUCAGGUCCUCUGGAAGAUGAGCAAGUGUUCGCAACCACUGCACUCUCUCUUUGCCCUUCCUCCUUAUUGUUGAGACAGGUCACUUACUGGACUUGGAAUUCAGCCACUGGUCUAGACUGGCUGGCCAGAAUGCCUAAUUGGAUCCCUCUCUCCUCAUCUCUACCCCACUGAUGGGAUUACAGGCGCAUGUUGCUAGGCCUAGUUUAUUAUCUGGGUCCCGAGGAAUCCACCUGAAGUGUUCAGGUUUAUGUGGCAAGUACUUUACUGACUAAGCCAUCUACCUGUCUCGACCUGGCACUUUUUGAUGAACUUUGAAACCAAGUUUUCAUUUUUAUUUUCCUUUAAUGUAGGUAAGUGUGUCUUCCCUUAUGGGGAAGAUGGGACAGAUGUCCCUAUGACGUCUGUCAUAAGAUUCAUAGUCAGGCCAUUACUAUCUCAUGUGCCAAUCAUCCCUUCAUUAGCAAUGAUAUAUCAAUUACAAAUAUACAGUCUCACCGGCAUAGCUAGAUAUCAGAUACAGAAUACCAACCAAGGGGUUUGUGCACAGUAGGUGCUCAGUGAACAUCAUAUUGAUAUAAGCAUUAUGCAUUACAUGAUAGAACAUUUAUUAAAUAUAAUAAGCAUUAUAUUUAAUAGCCAACCAAAAUGCAGAGUGGUAGAGCCCAAUCGUAGCAGAUGCAGAACAGCUCCUGUACCCAAGGCUAGGGGAUCAUGGCAGAAGAGGAUGUGAAAAGCCUGUGUCUCCUAAGAAUGUCACAAGCUUCACCCAUAAAGUCUCACCAACAUGACUGACAAAAUGGAUACUGAACGAGGACAACAAAUAGACACAUGUUUAUGUGGACUGGGGGAGGGCAAGUCUAGGAAGCAUCAACCCUACACAAAGACUACAGGCAACUAAGGAAUGCUGAGAGUGGGGGAAAUCGUCCUCUCCAGGGAGGAGCACACACCAAGCCAUUAUCCAAUACCAAAUGGCCAGCCCUGAAAACAUACAUACAAGUAACAUCAUAGAGACUA
rnacentral:lncRNA from 1 species